CUUGCACCAUCACCUUGAACCCACACCCCAUCAUAAAGAAGUUUGCCCCUCCGCGAUUUCAGCACGAAGCCCCAGCCCCUUACCCCCGGCGCGCCCCCUCGAAUAACGUCGGCCCCCCUCGCGAUCUCAGCUCCUCUUAAAACGUCGGCCCCCCCUUGUGAGUUCAACUCCUUAUUGAAGCUCAACCCCAUCACGUCGACAUCGCGUCUCAACCCCCUCGAAGCUUAGCCCCUUUUGCACAAGUUUGCUCUCCAAGUUCACUCGCAACGAGUUCAGCCUCAAGUCCAAGUCAACCAUAGGUAUUGAGUUCAGCACUGGGAGCUUGAAUGUGGAUGGCAAGCUGCAAGAAAAUAAUCGAUAUCGGACUGAGAUUGGGGCGGUGCAAAGAGAGGCAGCAAGGAAGAGAGGGGCAGUGCAAAGAGAAGGAAAAGAAGAGCAGCAAGGAAGAGGAAGACGGAAAAGAUGAAGGCUCUGUCACGUCGGCAUCGGACUGAAAUUAGGGCGGUGCAAACAGACGGAAGAGAGGAGCAUACUCGAAGAGGAAGACGGAAGAGAGAGGCUACAAAAUCAGUGUAUUUCCUCUUGAUUCUCUGUGAUGGAGCCUACUCAAAUUACAGUAUAUUUCCUUACGUGGCAACAGUUAAUUAGAUGGCUGCUUUUGUGCAA